rnacentral:rRNA from 1 species
UGCUAGUGUUAGGGGGUUUCCGCCCCUUAGUGCUGCAGCUAACGCAUUAAGCACUCCGCCUGGGGAGUACGAUCGCAAGGCUGAAACUCAAAGGAAUUGACGGGGGCCCGCACAAGCGGUGGAGCAUGUGGUUUAAUUCGAAGCAACGCGAAGAACCUUACCAGGUCUUGACAUCCUCUGACAACCCUAGAGAUAGGGCUUUCCCUUCGGGGACAGAGUGACAGGUGGUGCAUGGUUGUCGUCACCUCUUGCCGAGA